rnacentral:miRNA from 1 species
AUAGAAAUAUAAACCGGGCAGUGGUGGCACACACCUUUAAUCCCAGCGCUUGAGAGACAGAGGCAGGUGGAUUUCUGA